rnacentral:lncRNA from 1 species
AUGAUUACUCAGGGCAGAAAAUCUUCUCAUAAUUCCCAUUUUUCUGUCUUCCCAAGUGUCACCCAUGGAAGGACGUGCCUCCUCCAGGCUUGUGAAGCUGUUCUUGAGCUGGUGUUCCCUUCUGCAGGUGCUGCAGCAGCAGCUGCUGGGGGGAGCAGGCCUUCCUGUACCAAAGCCAGGAAGAACAGAAUGCUGGACAAUAUACAUCACACAUGCAGAAAAAAAAUUUGGUGGGAGAUGAAGCUUUUGAAGCCCAAACCCUCCGGUUGUAAAGGCUCGGCGGGAGGAGCACGUGUGGGAUGGGAGGGGAUGCGACUCCCUCUGCCGACCUUCGGAUCUGCUGCAGCUGCUGCCAGCUCCGAGCUCGCUUCCCGGGGUAAGAAACAGAACAUAAAAGUAAUGCUCUUCAAUUUUACAUUUAAAAUCUUCAUUUUCAAAACACUUGAAAAUCGGUUUUCCUCUGAUAUUUUGUAAUAGAAUCAGAGGGUCUGCAAAAAAAUUGAUAUUUGUGUGUACAGUCCUAGACCUGCACGUGAAGGACUUGCUUUAUUUGGGUAUUUAGGUUAUCAAAGAAAUAUUGCAAUUUUUUAACCAAAGUUAGGAAAUUCCAGGAGUUCUAAGACCACAUUAGUAAGAUUAGCUUCAGGUUCAUUCAAAAAUCAUCCCUGUGGAGAAACAUGAGAAGACUUUCUUUAAAACAGACAUGGAAUAAUCUCUCCCUUGGGCAGGGACACCUUCUACUAAUUCCAGGCUGCUCCAAGCCUUGUCCAGCCUGGCUUUGGACACUCCCAGGGAUCCAAGGGCAGCCACAGCUGCUCUGGAUUUAUUGAAUUUUGUUUUGGAUUAAUUUAAUUUAUUUUACUUAAUCCUAAUUUGUACCUACAUUAGAAAACUUUCCAAAUAUUGAAGCUGGCUUGUAGCUUAGGGGGUAUCAUCCAAGCUGAGUACUAUUAAAAUUAUGGUGGCAGAAGAGAACCCAGCUCUGGUCAAGGGUGGGUGAUUUAGUGUAGUUCUGCUGGGUUAAAAUCAUAGUUUGUGUGUUGGUUUGUUGUUUUUGAGAGGGUUCAUGUAGUACCCACAGCCUCUCAUUUAAAUUCAGUCUGGGUGCAAGUCCUCAGGGGAGCAGGGGAAGUGGUUCCCGAUGGAAAGGGAUACAAAUCCGGGGUGAGACCAAAAAGGGGUACAAAUACAGGGUAUGACAGAAAGGGGUACAAAUACAGGGUAUGACAGAAAGGGGAUGCAAAUACAGGGUAUGACAGAAAGGGAUGCAAAUACAGGGUAUGACAGAAAGGGGUACAAAUACAGGGUAUGACAGGGGUACAAAUACAGGCUAUAAUGGAAAGGGACACAAAUGCAGGGUAAAACAGUAACACUUAACAGCAGCAACCAAAGGCAAGUCCCAGAAUUCUAACAAGCAAUGUUUAACAACAGACCACUCUGAAAAACAGCCCUCAUCUCCAGGGUUUCAUUUCUC